rnacentral:rRNA from 1 species
UCAAGCUAUAAAGAGCGCAAGGGGAAUGCCUUGGCAUCAGGAGCCGACGAAGGACGUGACAAGCUGCGAUAAGCUUCGGGGAGGAGCAAAUAUCCUGUGAUCCGGAGAUUUCCGAAUGGGGAAACCCACUGGAGCAAUACUCCAGUAACGUGCAUUGAACAAAAUAGGUGUACGUGGGGAACCGCCUGAACUGAAACAUCUAAGUAGGGCGAGGAAAAGACAUCAACCGAGAUUCCGUAAGUAGUGGCGAGCGAACACGGAGGAGGCCAAACCGGAGGAUUUAUUCUCCGGGGUUAGGACUUGCAUCACGAUCAGAAGAAUCUAACAGAACGGCAUGGGAAGGCCGGCCACAGAGGGUGAGAGCCCCGUACGUGAAAGAGGAAGCUGACAGCGAGUAUCCAGAGUACCGCGGGACACGUGAAACCCCGCGGGAAAACGGGUGGACCACCAUCCAAGCCUAAAUACUACCUGAUGACCGAUAGAGGAGCAGUACCGUGAGGGAAAGGUGAAAAGGACCCCGGGAGGGGAGUGAAAGAGAACCUGAAACCUUGUGCUUACAAGCACUCAAAGCACGUUAAAGUGUGAUGAGGUACUUUUUGUAGAACGGUCCGGCGAGUUAUAGUAACGAGCAAGCUUAAGGUAUUCAGUACCGGAGGCGAAGCGAGAGCGAGUCUGAAUAGGGCGCAUAAAGUUCGUUGCCAUAGACCCGAAACCGGGUGACCUAACCAUGAGCAGGCUGAAGUGAGAGUAAAAUCUCAUGGAGGGCCGAACGCACGUUCGUUGCAAUGACCGGCGAUGACUUGUGGUUAGCGGAGAAAUUCCAAUCGAACUCGGAGAUAGCUGGUUCUCCCCGAAAUAGCUUUAGGGCUAGCGUUAUCUUAGAUUACCGGAGGUAAAGCACUGAAUGGGCUAGGGGGCGAUAAGCUUACUGAACCCUAUCAAACUCUGAAUGCCGGAUAAUUGAUGGAUAGCAGUCAGACAGUGUGAGAUAAGUUUCAUUGUCAAAAGGGAAACAGCCCAGACCCACAGCUAAGGUCCCAAAUGUAUGCUAAGUGGAAAACGAUGUGGAGUUGCGAAAACAACCAGGAUGUUGGCUUAGAAGCAGCCACUCAUUAAAAGAGUGCGUAAUAGCUCACUGGUCGAGUGACUCUGCGCGGAAAAUGUAACGGGGCUAAGUAUACAACCGAAGCUUGGGAUUGUCUAAAGACAGUGGUAGGGGAGCGUCGUGUAUGGGGUGAAGUCGCAUCGGAAGGAGCGGUGGACUGUACACGAGUGAGAAUGCCGGAAUGAGUAGCGAGAAUUAUGUGGGAAUCAUAAUGGCCGAAAAUCUAAGGUUUCUUGGGGAAGGUUCGUCCGCCCAAGGUAAGCCGGGAGCUAAGGCGAGGCCGAAAGGCGUAGUCGAUGCACAUACGGUUGAAAUUCCGUAGCCGCCGAAAUUGUUAAGCACAGGGACACAUAGAGAUAUCCGAACCCGGGCGUUGGUUGACCCGGGCGCAAGGGACCGAACAUCAGUAGGGAAGUCGGAGAUGCUCUGUGGCGAGAAAAGCUGUGUGUAUUGAUUAGGCGCCCGUACCGCAAACCGACACAGGUAGAUGAGGAGAGAAUCCUAAGGCCAACGGGAGAAGGGUUGUUAAGGAACUCGGCAAAUUGACCCCGUAACUUCGGGAUAAGGGGAGCCUCCUACGGGAGGCCGCAGUGAAUAGGCCCAAGCAACUGUUUACCAAAAACACAGGUCUCUGCUAAAUCGAAAGAUGACGUAUAGGGGCUGACGCCUGCCCGGUGCCGGAAGGUUAAGAGGAGAGCUUAGCGCAAGCGAAGGUUCGAAUUGAAGCCCCGGUAAACGGCGGCCGUAACUAUAACGGUCCUAAGGUAGCGAAAUUCCUUGUCAGGUAAGUUCUGACCCGCACGAAUGG